rnacentral:rRNA from 1 species
GAUGAACGCUGGCGGCGUGCUUAACACAUGCAAGUCGAACGAUGAAGCCCAGCUUGCUGGGUGGAUUAGUGGCGAACGGGUGAGUAACACGUGAGUAACCUGCCCUUAACUCUGGGAUAAGCCUGGGAAACUGGGUCUAAUACCGGAUAGGAGCGUCCACCGCAUGGUGGGUGUUGGAAAGAUUUAUCGGUUUUGGAUGGACUCGCGGCCUAUCAGCUUGUUGGUGGGGUAAUGGCUCACCAAGGCGACGACGGGUAGCCGGCCUGAGAGGGUGACCGGCCACACUGGGACUGAGACACGGCCCAGACUCCUACGGGAGGCAGCAGUGGGGAAUAUUGCACAAUGGGCGCAAGCCUGAUGCAGCGACGCCGCGUGAGGGAUGACGGCCUUCGGGUUGUAAACCGCUUUCAGUAGGGAAGAAGCGAAAGUGACGGUACCUGCAGAAGAAGCACCGGCUAACUACGUG